AACGAACGCUGGCGGCAUGCCUAACACAUGCCAGUCGAACGAGACCUUCGGGUCUAGUGGCGCACGGGUGCGUAACGCGUGGGAACCUGCCCUUAGGUUCGGAAUAACUCCCAGAAAGGGGUGCUAAUACCGGAUAAUGUCUUCGGACCAAAGAUUUAUCGCCUUUGGAUGGGCCCGCGUUGGAUUAGCUAGUUGGUAGGGUAAAAGCCUACCAAGGCGACGAUCCAUAGCUGGUCUGAGAGGAUGAUCAGCCACACUGGGACUGAGACACGGCCCAGACUCCUACGGGAGGCAGCAGUGGGGAAUAUUGGACAAUGGGCGAAAGCCUGAUCCAGCAAUGCCGCGUGAGUGAUGAAGGCCUUAGGGUUGUAAAGCUCUUUUACCCGGGAUGAUAAUGACAGUACCGGGAGAAUAAGCUCCGGCUAACUCCGUG
rnacentral:rRNA from 1 species